rnacentral:rRNA from 1 species
AGAACGAACGCUGGCGGCAGGCCUAACACAUGCAAGUCGAACGCCCGUAGCAAUACGGGAGUGGCAGACGGGUGAGUAACGCGUGGGAACGUGCCCUUCGGUUCGGAAUAACUCAGGGAAACUUGAGCUAAUACCGGAUACGUCCGUAAGGAGAAAGAUUUAUUGCCGAAGGAUCGGCCCGCGUCGGAUUAGCUAGUUGGUGAGGUAACGGCCCACCAAGGCGACGAUCCGUAGCUGGUCUGAGAGGAUGAUCAGCCACACUGGGACUGAGACACGGCCCAGACUCCUACGGGAGCAGCAGUGGGGAAUAUUGGACAAUGGGCGAAAGCCUGAUCCAGCCAUGCCGCGUGAGUGAAGAAGGCCUUAGGGUUGUAAAGCUCUUUCAGCGGGAAGAUAAUGACGGUACCCGCAGAAGAAGCCCGGCUAACUCGCGCCAGCAGCCGC